UGAUCUGGAGAGACUACUUGCUGAGCAGAUUGAAACACGGACCGCACUUCAGAACCACGGGGAAGCUCGGACUUCACACCACUAAAAAAGGACUGGGUUCCAUCGCCCCAGCUCUGGUUCUUUAUUCGACCGCUGGUCUCGUCUCAACCCAGCCUUUUCAAACUCUGCAACAAGACUUGGAGGAAGGACAAAGGUCCAUCAGGGAUAAAGAA